rnacentral:rRNA from 1 species
GUUUUGUAUGUACCUUACGAAUAAGCAUCGGCUAACUCCGUGCCAGCAGCCGCGGUAAUACGGAGGAUGCGAGCGUUAUCCGGAUUUAUUGGGUUUAAAGGGUGCGUAGGCGGACUGGUCAGUCAGCGGUGAAAUCUCGAGGCUUAACUUCGAAACUGCCGUUGAAACUGCUAGUCUUGAGUGUGAACGAGGUAGGCGGAAUUCGUGGUGUAGCGGUGAAAUGCUUAGAUAUCACGAAGAACUCCGAUAGCGCAGGCAGCUUACCAGGCCACAACUGACGCUGAGGCACGAAAGUGUGGGUAUCAAACAGGAUUAGAUACCCUGGUAGUCCACACAGUAAACGAUGAAUACUAACUGUUUGCGAUAUACAGUAAGCGGUACAGCGAAAGCGUUAAGUAUUCCACCUGGGGAGUACGCCGGCAACGGUGAAACUCAAAGGAAUUGACGGGGGCCCGCACAAGCGGAGGAACAUGUGGUUUAAUUCGAUGAUACGCGAGGAACCUUACCCGGGCUCGAACGGCAAAUGAAUAAAGAUGAAAGUUUUUAGCUAGCAAUAGCAUUUGUCGAGGUGCUGCAUGGUUGUCGUCAGCUCGUGCCGUGAGGUGUCGGCUUAAGUGCCAUAACGAGCGCAACCCCUAUCUUUAGUUACCAUCAGGUUAAGCUGGGGACUCUAAAGAGACUGCCACCGUAAGGUGUGAGGAAGGUGGGGAUGACGUCAAAUCAGCACGGCCCUUACGUCCGGGGCGACACACGUGUUACAAUGGGGGGUACAAAGGGUCGCUACCAGGCAACUGGAUGCUAAUCUCAAAAACCUCUCCCAGUUCGGAUCGGAGUCUGCAACUCGACUCCGUGAAGCUGGAUUCGCUAGUAAUCGCGCAUCAGCCAUGGCGCGGUGAAUACGUUCCCGGGCCUUGUACACACCGCCCGUCAAGCCAUGGAAGCCGGGGGUACCUGAAGUACGUAACCGUAAGGAGCGUCCUAGGGUAAAACUGGUAACUGGGGCUAAGUCGUAACAAGGUA